rnacentral:rRNA from 1 species
AUAGCCCUACAGGGGGCAGCAGUGGGGAAUCUUCCGCAAUGGGCGAAAGCCUGACGGAGCAAUGCCGCGUGAGUGAAGGAGGCCUUCGGGUUGUAAAACUCUGUCCUUAUCGAAGAGAGGUGGGUAUGUGAAUAAUGUACUCAUAGGACGGUAGAUAAGGAGGAAGCCCCGGCCAACUACGUGCCAGCAGCCGCGGUAAUACGUAGGGGGCGAGCGUUGUCCGGAAUCACUGG